CGGAUCCAAAUAUGGGCCAUGCAGUUGGAGCUUCAAGUCGUCCAAGCAGUGUGAAGAAGAAUGGUUCAGAUAAAGUGUAUGAAGAUGACAAGAGAAUAGUUCAUACAGUCAAUGUUUAAUGAGAGGUUAUGGGCACAAGGCAAGGCAGGGCAGACAGAGAAGCAGAGCAGAGUUAAAGGCUUCAACUAUAUAGUUAUAAAUGCUCUCCUGUUUAUUAUUUUCUUUUUUUGGAUUUUGAAUUAUUUUUUUUUUCCCACUGUUGUAACAACUGUACCUUCUGUUGUUGUAUUAAUUGUAUGUGGUUUAUUCA